rnacentral:tRNA from 1 species
AGUGGUAUAGUGGUUAAAAGCUUGGCUGCUAACCAAAAGGUUGGUGGUUUGAAUCCACCAGCCACUC